rnacentral:rRNA from 1 species
UAGGGAAUAUUGGGCAAUGGGCGGAAGCCUGACCCAGCCACGCCGCGUGCAGGAAGACGGCCCUNUGGGUUGUAAACUGCUUUUAACUGGGAAGAAAAGAGGCUUUGCGAAGCAAGUUGACGGUACCAGUUGAAUAAGCCACGGCUAACUACGUGCCAGCAGCCGCGGUAAUACGUAGGUGGCGAGCGUUAUCCGGAUUUAUUGGGUUUAAAGGGAGCGUAGGCGGCUGAUUAAGUCAGCGGUGAAAGGUAGCAGCUUAACUGUUUUACAUGCCGUUGAUACUGGUUAGCUUGAGUUGACAGAAGGCAGAUAGAAUUCCUGGUGUAGCGGUGAAAUGCUUAGAUACCAGGAGGAAUACCGAUUGCGAAGGCAGUCUGCUGCAGUCACACUGACGCUGAGGCUCGAAGGUGCGGGGAUCAAACAGGAUUAGAUACCCUGGUAGUCCGCACAGUAAACGAUGAUUACUAGAUGUUGGCCAAGCCAGUGUCCAAGGGAAACCGAUAAGUAAUCCACCUGGGGAGUACGCCGGCAACGGUG